GACGAACGCUGGCGGCGUGCUUAACACAUGCAAGUCGAGCGGUAAGGCCCUUUCGGGGGUACACGAGCGGCGAACGGGUGAGUAACACGUGGGUGACCUGCCCUCAGCUCUGGGAUAAGCCUGGGAAACCGGGUCUAAUACUGGAUAUGACUCCAUGACGCAUGUUGUGGGGUGGAAAGCCUUGUGCGGCUGAGGAUGGGCCCGCGGCCUAUCAGCUUGUUGGUGGGGUGANGGCCUACCAAGGCGACGACGGGUAGCCGGCCUGAGAGGGCGACCGGCCACACGUGGGACUGAGACACGGCCCAGACUCCGUACGGGAGGCAGCAGGUGGGGAAUCUUGCGCAAGUGGGACGAAAGCCUGACGCAGCGACGCCGCGUGAGGGAUGACGGCCUGG
rnacentral:rRNA from 1 species